rnacentral:misc_RNA from 1 species
CGGUGUGACUGCUGACGCUCUGGUCAUGCUAGCCAAAGCCUGCUGCCAGCUCCAUAGCCUGGACCUACAGCACUCCAUGGUGGAGUCCACAGCUGUGGUGAGCUUCUUGGAGGAGGCAGGGUCCCGAAUGCGCAAGUUGUGGCUGACCUACAGCUCCCAGACGACAGCCAUCCUGGGCGCACUGCUGGGCAGCUGCUGCCCCCAGCUCCAGGUCCUGGAGGUGAGCACCGGCAUCAACCGUAAUAGCAUUCCCCUUCAGCUGCCUGUCGAGGCUCUGCAGAAAGGCUGCCCUCAGCUCCAGGUGCUGCGGCUGUUGAACCUGAUGUGGCUGCCCAAGCCUCCGGGACGAGGGGUGGCUCCCGGACCAGGCUUCCCUAGCCUAGAGGAGCUCUGCCUGGCGAGCUCAACCUGCAACUUUGUGAGCAACGAGGUCCUGGGCCGCCUACUCCACGGCUCUCCCAACCUGCGCUUACUGGAUCUUCGUGGCUGUGCGCGCAUCACGCCGGCUGGCCUUCAGGAUCUGCCAUGUCGGGCUCUGUGAUCAGCGGCUGCCCGGGCCUGCUCUACCUCAACCUGGAGUCCUGCCGCUGCCUUCCCCGGGGUCUGAAGCGGGCCUACCGGGGCCUGGAGGAAGUCCAGUGGUGUCUGGAGCAGCUGCUCACCAGCCCCUCACCCAGCUAGGCAGCCACAGACCUGG